rnacentral:rRNA from 1 species
AUACGGAGGGUGCAAGCGUUAUUCGGAAUCACUGGGCGUAAAGGACGCGUGGGCGGGUUGGCAAGUCAGAUGUGAAAUCCUACAGCUUAACUGUAGAACUGCAUUUGAAACUGCUAACCUAGAGUAUGGGAGGGGGAGAUGGAAUUAGUGGUGUAGGGGUAAAAUCCGUAGAUAUCACUAGGAAUACCGAAAGCGAAGGCGAUCUCCUGGAACAUAACUGACGCUAAGGCGUGAAAGCGUGGGGAGCAAACAGGAUUAGAAACCCUAGUAGUCC